GCUCCCACAGAGGGUGCAGCUGCUGUCCCUGGCCUCGGCGCCCUUGUCCCUCGGUGCUGUCAGAGUGCUGUGGGCGUCCUGGCCGUACGUGUCUGGGUGCUGGCUGCAGUCCUGGCAUGGAGGGAGGCUGAGGCAGAAGGGUUGCACAUUGAACCCCCGGGGACAGCUUAGCAAGACCCUGUCUCAAAAACUAAACAGGGCUGUGGGUGUAGCUCAGUGGUUAGAGCACCCCUGGGUUCAAGUCCCAGUCUCGCCCCCCCAAAACGGUGCCAAACCGGGCCUGUCACUCUGUGGACGGUCAGACCCCAGCAGCUCGCUGUGUCUCCGGGAGAGCCUCCUCCCGGCAGGUAGGUCCCGGGCAUCCGGGCCAGCUGGAGUCGGCUGACAGCCCAUUUGGAGCCCAAAGACAGAAGGACGAUGCUGGGCAGUUCAUGAGGCGCUGUGGGCCUCACCGCCCUGGCCCGUGCCUGUCUCCUGGGCCCAGGGAAACCUGGGGAAUUCCACCGCCCAGCUUUCAGCUUCUCCUCUCCGUUUGAAACAAGUCCCCGGACAGGUUAGCUGCGAGGAACCGGAACCAAAGCCCUGGCCAAGCCAGAAUGGUGCCGAAGGGUCCAGCGUCUGCUCCUUUCUGACAAGUCUGCCCCUGCUGCAGCCGCACGGUGAGGGGAGCUGGGGCUGGAGCAGGAACAGAGCGGGGGCGGCUCCAGGGCAGCUGGGGAGGCGAGUCGAGCGAGCGAGCGAGCGAGGUCCCAGGGUGCUGCUGCAGCGCUCAGCUCUCAUGUGUGGCCCCGCCUGGCUCUCGUGACCCCUGCUCCCGUCAGCUCUGCCCUCUCCAACUGGGAAGACCGGUGGCCAGCGAAGGGGAGACUGUUCCGCUCCAGUCCCAGCUGCACGUGGUGCCUCUGCCUCGGUCCCCGUCUCAGUCCCUCAGCGAAGUCUUUGCCCUGCUCAGGAGCCCGGCUUCUGCUGCCACUAGCGGGGCCUCGUGCUCCCAGUGGGGUGAGCAGGACAGCGGGCACCUGUGUCUGGCACUUGUUCUUGACCUCCGAGUCCUGGAGACCUGAAAGCCAGGAGGCCGCAUGGGACCUUUCCACCUGGGGUCCUGCAGAGGCGCCUGGGCCAAGGUGGCAGGCAGGUGGGACCCCAAGUUGUGUAGGCGUGGCCCUGCAGAGGCCUGAUGGGUUCGUGCCUUCCCUGCCCCAGUGCUGCUCCUGUCACGGGUGCACGGUGCUUAGUGCACAUCCCAGCUGCGUGCCCCAGCUCGAGUGUCCUGCGGCCGGCGGCAGCUCUGGAGGGAUGUGCGCCUCACCCGCGUGACACCGCAGGACCCGGGUGAGGUUGGCGGCCAGGCCUCAGACUCCGUGUGUGGGACAUGUGCUGUCCGGGAGCCAGAAGCUGACCUUCCUGAAGGCUCCUGCUUAUCUGAUUUCAUCCCUGGAGCAGCCAUGUGACACAGCCGUGAUUUCCCUCUCGUCACUGAAGGAGCUGUAGUUAUUAAGUGACCUAGCCAAGGUCAUGCGCAGGAGAGGACAGAACCUCAGAAGGUCCGGAUUCUCUGCUUCUGGGCUGAGGCGCUGCCAGCCGCCGACCUUUGCGUGUGCAGAGGCGACUUGUGGAGGGAAGCCUUGCCGUGCAGUGGGAUCUAGAGGAAGUCCUAAACUGGGGAGAGCCUGGAGCCUGGAACAGGAACCGCUUUCCCCUGCAGGGAGGACUUCUGCCCUGACCAGAGUCCAGGCCCUGAUGUUCUUUGCAUAUGAAAGGUGAAUGUGGCCCCCCACUCUCCAGGACAGAGCCCCUGCUGCUCUGACGCUGUAUUUCUCGGUCACCACUGCUCACCCCCGCCGAGUCUGCUCAGUCCUUGGACCUUCGAUGGGCGCUGUGGGUGUGUGUGGGUGAGGGUGGAGUGGUGUCCUGGGGAAGAGGCAGGACCACGCGUGGCUUGCAGGCAGAAGGCAGGAGGUGCAGAGGAGUCUCGGGCAGGCCCAGCUGUGGGAGGCACAGGCUGCCUGGGGUUGGGUGCAGAUGGGCUUUCCGUGAAGUCUCAGGUAAGUCAGUGGCUCAGUGAGAGUUGUAUUCAGCACAGAAAACCCCGCGUGCUUUCGUCUUACCCCCAGGUGCAGGUUUACGUCCUAGGGCCUUAUGGGCCAGCGGCGUUGGCUAAGUCCGCAGGACCACGCUUGUUUCUUACAGGCUUUUCUCUGUUCUUUCCCACUCCUCACUCCCUCAUUCCUUGGGCGCCUGUAUGGAGCGCAGUUGUGCCUCAGUGUCUGGCGGGUCGGGUCCCACAGCCACAGUGCUGAGUCCCUGCCGUGGAAUGGCAGAGCAUUUACAUUUAACCUACACAUGUCCUCCCGUGUGCUUUGCAUCAUCUCCAGAUGAUUUACAGCAUCGACUACAGUGGAAAUGCUGUGCGAAUAGCUGUCACAUGGUUAGGAAUAAUGAAUGGCAUGAAUAAAAUCCUACAGCGCGUGGGCGCAGGUGCAGCUUCUUUCAUCCAGGCACUUUCAGUCGAGGGUUGGACACGCUCUGUGCCGUGCAGUUCUGUUGUCUCGAGGCCUGGGUCUUGAGCGUGGCUGGCGAGAGUGAAAUGUGUGGGGAGCUGUGCAGGGCGCAGGGCACUGGCUCCGGCGCCUCCAGCGGCCUGGGGGACGGAGGGCUGAGGAACGUGAGCGAGUGCGGACCCUGCAUGCCUCUUACUGGAUGGGGCGCUCAGGCGCGAGCCGUUCUCCAGCCCUCCUGAGCUGUUGCCUCUUUGCAGCUGGGCCCUGCGUGGUGUCCCUGGAGGUCUGAGACCACGCGUC
ensembl:lncRNA